UUGUCCUUAUGGCUGGGGGUGGUCGUGGAAGCAAGCGACAGCGCUCCAAAGCUAAAAGGCCGAUUGAGUAUCAACCGGAUGAUGAAGAGAGCGAAUAUGUUCCCGGCGACGAUUCUGAGGAGGAUGAGCCGGAUUGGGAGGCUUUUGUUCCCGAGGUAUUAGCUAAGGAUAAGGAUACAGGGAAGUGCAAGGGAAAAGGAAAAGCUGUGGAUAAAGGCAAA
rnacentral:lncRNA from 1 species